GACGAACGCUGGCGGCGUGCUUAACACAUGCAAGUCGAGCGGAAAGGCCCUUCUCUUGUGGGGCGCUCGAGUGGCGAACGGGUGAGUAACACGUGUGUAACCUGCUUUUGACUUUGGGAAAACUUCAGGAAACUGGGGCUAAUACCGGAUAGGAGCUCCUGCUGCAUGGUGGGGGUUGGAAAGUUUCGGCGGUUGGGGAUGGACUCGCGGCUUAUCAGCUUGUUGGUGGGGUAGUGGCUUACCAAGGCUUUGAGGGGUAGCCGGCCUGAGAGGGUGACCGGCCACAUGGGACUGGGGAACCGGCCCAGACUCCUACGGGAGGCAGAAGUGGGGAAUUUUGCACAAUGGGCGGAAGCCUAAUGCAGCAACGCCGCGUGCGGGAUGACGGCCUUCGGGUUGUAACCCGCUUUCGCCUGUGACGAAGCGUGAGUGACGGUAGUGGGUAAAGAAGCACCGGCUAACUACGUG
rnacentral:rRNA from 1 species